rnacentral:rRNA from 1 species
AUUGAACGCUGGCGGCAUGCCUUACACAUGCAAGUCGAACGGUAACAGGGAGCUUGCUCCGCUGACGAGUGGCGAACGGGUGAGUAAAGUAUCGGAACGUACCUUUCAGUGGGGGAUAACGUAGCGAAAGUUACGCUAAUACCGCAUAUUCUGUGAGCAGGAAAGCAGGGGGAUCGCAAGACCUUGCGCUGAUUGAGCGGCCGAUAUCAGAUUAGCUAGUUGGUGAGGUAAAGGCUCACCAAGGCGACGAUCUGUAGCGGGUCUGAGAGGAUGAUCCGCCGCACUGGAACUGAGACACGGUCCAGACUCCUACGGGAGGCAGCAGUGGGGAAUUUUGGACAGUGGGCGCAAGCCUGAUCCAGCCAUGCCGCGUGAGUGAAGAAGGCC